UCUAAUGGACAAGUUAAUAUAAAAACUCUAAAGUUAAACGUGCUCGGGCGAGAGUAGUACUAUGAUGGGUGCCCUCUUGGGAAGUGAGGUUGUGUUAUGC
rnacentral:rRNA from 1 species